rnacentral:rRNA from 1 species
GACGAACGCUGGCGGCGUGCUUAACACAUGCAAGUCGAGCGGAGCGGCGAACGGGUGAGUAACGCGUGAGCAACUUCCCCCCCCUCUGGGAUAACAGUUGGAAAAGGCUGCUCAUACCGGUUAGUGGGGGAUGACACGCGUCCUAUAAGCUUGUGGGUGGGGUAGUGGCUUACCAAGGCGACGACGGGUAGCCGGCCUGAGAGGGCGACCGGCCACAUUGGGCUGGGAUACGGCCCAAACUCCUACGGGAGGCAGCAGUGGGGAAUAGUGCACAAUGGGGGGAACCCUGAUGCAGCGACGCCGCGUGGGGGAUGACGGCCUUCGGGUUGGAAACCGCUUUCAGCCAUGACGCGGUAGUGGCAGAAGAAGCACCGGCUAACUACGUGCCAGCAGCCGCGGUAAUAC